rnacentral:rRNA from 1 species
GUCGAGCGGACCGACGGGAGCUUGCUCCCUUAGGUCAGCGGCGGACGGGUGAGUAACACGUGGGUAACCUGCCUGUAAGACUGGGAUAACUCCGGGAAACCGGGGCUAAUACCGGAUGCUUGAUUGAACCGCAUGGUUCAAUCAUAAAAGGCGGCUUCGGCUGCCGUUUACAGAUGGACCCGCGGCGCAUUAGCUAGUUGGUGAGGUAACGGCUCACCAAGGCGACGAUGCGUAGCCGACCUGAGAGGGUGAUCGGCCACACUGGGACUGAGACACGGCCCAGACUCCUACGGGAGGCAGCAGUAGGGAAUCUUCCGCAAUGGACGAAAGUCUGACGGAGCAACGCCGCGUGAGUGAUGAAGGUUUUCGGAUCGUAAAGCUCUGUUGUUAGGGAAGAACAAGUACCGUUCGAAUAGGGCGGCACCUUGACAGUACCUAA